UGAACGCUGGCGGCAUGCCUAACACAUGCAAGUCGAACGGAAACGACAGGAGCUUGCUCCUGGGCGUCGAGUGGCGGACGGGUGAGUAAUGCAUAGGAAUCUGCCCAUGUAGUGGGGGACAACCUGGGGAAACUCAGGCUAAUACCGCAUGAGCCCUUCGGGGUAAAGCAGGGGAUCUUCGGACCUUGCGCUAUUGGAUGAGCCUAUGCCUGAUUAGCUUGUUGGUGGGGUAACGGCCUACCAAGGCGACGAUCAGUAGCUGGUCUGAGAGGACGAUCAGCCACACUGGGACUGAGACACGGCCCAGACUCCUACGGGAGGCAGCAGUGGGGAAUAUUGGACAAUGGGCGCAAGCCUGAUCCAGCAAUGCCGCGUGUGUGAAGAAGGCCUGCGGGUUGUAAAGCACUUUCAGUGGGGAGGAAAAGCUCAAGAUUAACACUCUUGAGUCUUGACGUUAUCCACAGAAGAAGCACCGGCUAACUCU
rnacentral:rRNA from 1 species